GCAUUGGUGGUUCAGUGGUAGAAUUUCCGCCUGCCACGCGGGAGGCCCGGGUUCGAUUCCCGGCCAAUGCA